rnacentral:rRNA from 1 species
GACGAACGCUGGCGGCAUGCCUAAUACAUGCAAGUCGAGCGGACUUGAUGGAGAAGCUUGCUUCUUCUGAAGGUUAGCGGCGGACGGGUGAGUAACACGUAGGCAACCUGCCUUUCAGUUUGGGAUAACUUCCGGAAACGGAUGCUAAUACCGAAUACAUCAUCUUCUGGCAUCAGAGGAUGAGGAAAGACGGCGCAAGCUGUCACUGAGAGAUGGGCCUGCGGCGCAUUAGCUAGUUGGUGGGGUAAUGGCUCACCAAGGCGACGAUGCGUAGCCGACCUGAGAGGGUGAACGGCCACACUGGGACUGAGACACGGCCCAGACUCCUACGGGAGGCAGCAGUAGGGAAUCUUCCACAAUGGGCGAAAGCCUGAUGGAGCAAUGCCGCGUGAGUGAUGAAGGUUUUCGGAUCGUAAAGCUCUGUUGCCAGGGAAGAACGUCCAGGUGAGUAACUGCACCUGGAGUGACGGUACCUGAGAAGAAAGCCCCGGCUAACUACGUGCCAGCCGCCGCAGUAACAC